rnacentral:rRNA from 1 species
GAUGAACGCUGGCGGCGUGCUUAACACAUGCCAGUCGAACGAUGAAGCCCAGCUUGCUGGGUGGAUUAGUGGCGAACGGGUGAGUAACACGUGAGUAACCUGCCCUUAACUCUGGGAUAAGCCUGGGAAACUGGGUCUAAUACCGGAUAGGAGCGUCCACCGCAUGGUGGGUGUUGGAAAGAUUUAUCGGUUUUAGAUGGACUCGCGGCCUAUCAGCUUGUUGGUGAGGUAAUGGCUCACCAAGGCGACGACGGGUAGCCGGCCUGAGAGGGUGACCGGCCACACUGGGACUGAGACACGGCCCAGACUCCUACGGGAGGCAGCAGUGGGGAAUAUUGCACAAUGGGCGCAAGCCUGAUGCAGCGACGCCGCGUGAGGGAUGACGGCCUUCGGGUUGUAAACCUCUUUCAGUAGGGAAGAAGCGAAAGUGACGGUACCUGCAGAAGAAGCACCGGCUAACUACGUG